UCAGUCCGCAUACUAUUCCACUUCCGCUCCUGCUCCUCGCAAUAUGGCGGCCACUGUGGCGGUGCCCCAGAACUUUCCGCUUACCUGUCUGUCACGGAGGGGCUUGCUUCGCCCGCUCCUACGUCAGUCGGAAGGGGAGGGGCGACAAAGGUUAGUGACUCAGCUGCAGGUCUCGCUGAUCCUUUCUGCGACCCCAGAUGGCACACAUGGACUCAAACAGGCCUGAACUGAAGAACUCCAAUUCCCAACAUGCCCUGUGAGAAUCCUUGGUGAUAUCGCAACCCAGGUUGGCUGCCACCUAGAGUUCCGGAGGAGACAAUGCCCUGCACAACCUGUCACCCUCUAUUCUUCCAUGCCAUGGGUGUCCCGGCCAGGUAGGAAACUCUCUUCCACACUGUCUACUC